rnacentral:rRNA from 1 species
AUUCUGCCCUGCACUUUGGGAUAAGCCUGGGAAACUGGGUCUAAUACCGGAUAUACCUCAUGGGCUGCAUGGUUUGUGAGGGAAAGCUUUUGCGGUGUGGGAUGGGCCCGCGGCCUAUCAGCUUGUUGGUGGGGUGAUGGCCUACCAAGGCGACGACGGGUAGCCGGCCUGAGAGGGUGACCGGCCACACUGGGACUGAGAUACGGCCCAGACUCCUACGGGAGGCAGCAGUGGGGAAUAUUGCACAAUGGGCGCAAGCCUGAUGCAGCGACGCCGCGUGAGGGAUGACGGCCUUCGGGUUGUAAACCUCUUUCAGCAGGGACGAAGCGCAAGUGACGGUACCUGUAGAAGAAGGACCGGCCAACUACGUGCCAGCAGCCGCGGUAAUACGUAGGGUCCGAGYGNUGUCCGGAAUUACUGGGCGUAAAGAGCUCGUAGGUGGUUUGUCGCGUUGUUCGUGAAAACUCACA